GGGCGGGGGCCGGAACCGGCCUCAGCUGGGGCCCGGCCAGCCCCUCCCCCGCCCUCCCGCCGUCUCCGGGGGAACGCACAGCCAAUCCCGGCCGCCCACUGCGGUCUCGCCCCGGUCCCGGCCGCGACGCGCCGGCCUUCGGCGCGGCCUUUCCCUUCUCCUCUUGGUCACCCUCUCCCUCUCUGCUUCCCCCAUUCCCUUCUCCACGACCAGUUUUUAAACUUUGAUGAACUGGCCCAGCGAACUUUCUUAAAGGAGCCGCGCGCCGCCGGAGGUGGAGCCGAGUGCCAGGCACGCCGCAUCCCCGCCCUGUCGGCCCCACGCGAGUGCGCCCUCCGCGAAGCCCCGGGAUGGUGGGCUCCCCUUUAACCUAGUGUAGGAAAACGGGGUGUUCGACGCGUUGCCUUUGCCCCCAGAUCUACUCGCCGGGUCGCAGUUCGAACCGUCCUUCCCACAGCUCAGAGCUGCGGGGUCCGGGUUCAGAGGAUGAUAGGCGGGGGAGGGGGAGAAUGGCAGACACCUGGGCUUUGGUCUGCCUUGGGCGUUGUUUUGCUGAGUGACCUUGAGGAAAUCACUUCCCCUCUCUGGCAUCAGGCUCCUAGCCCAGAGGGUGGGACUUAGGAGGCAAACUCCUUUUCCGCUCUCAAUCUCUGAAUGGCGCUCAAGGCUGGAAAAUACCUCUCGUGGCCCUAAUGGCUAUUAGCCCUAUGAGGGGAUACCUCGAAUGACCUAGAAGGUUCCCCACUACCACUACCCGGCUUUUGGGUCUUCUCACUCCGCGCCUGAACUAAGUACCCCGUCCAUGCCGUUUCCCCUCCAAUUCAAAGACGAGCACCGGGGGGGAGGGGAGAGCAACCUGGCCGCUCGGGUGGAGUCGCGGUGACUCCCACCCGACGGGUCUCAAGCCUCUUGAAUUUGAAAACCCGCGCAGAUCAGGGCUGGCCCCUGCCGCCAGUUUGUUAAAACCCGCGCCCGCUUCGGGUCCCGCUGGAAGCGCCCGAAUCCCGACUGUCCGGCGGAGCAACCUGAGGGUUGGGCUCCUUUCCCGCGUCCCCACCCCAGAAUUCCUGAGGGAUCCGGGUCUGCAGCACCAUCCGGCCUUGAGUAGCCACUGCGGAGAGGCGAGGGGACGCGGAGGGGUCAGGCGUCAUCGGGUGUGACCCACGGCCCGCGCCUACUCUCUGUGCUGACUUAACUAGAACUAGCUAAGCUAGAUCUUGGGUUCGGGUUUGGAAGCGACGCGCAGCGGCGGUAGAAUUAAAAGGUUUGCAGGAGCAACCAGGAGGCACCCCAGACCUUGGAUGAGUAACUUGGCCCCUGAGAAUCUCAGUGUACUGGCUUGGUAAAUAGGGGCAGCACCACCAUACUGGUGUUGUGCUGUGACUUAUUCUCCCAGAUAAUUUAUAAUCACCUCAAACUACCACCUCACAGGUAAGUAAAUUGAACACUAAAGAUGGGUGAUGGUUUCCCAGUGACAUUCAUUUAUUUGGUAAAAAUUAGCGAGCACCAACUUUGGGACAGGGGACCAUUUUGCUGUGGCAAAAGGCCAGAAACACCUGAAAAAGAAUCAGGCACUGUCAAUCCAUGAUGUGCUUAUCACCUUUUACACAGAAUUUUCGAGCCUCCGUCCAGUCUGGCUUUGACACCAGCCUUCUGCCCUAGAACAGAUCUUCCCAUCAGGCAUGUCUCAGAUGAUUUUGAUACAGUAAUAUUUAAAAGAAAUUUCCCUUUCUCUCCCAAUCCCCAAUCCAAAUCCUCCCUUCCCUGGAGAUCCUGCUGUAGCCCUGCUUUUUCCAGGAGUAGGGGCCUGACCUGGUCAGUUUUCUAAGCUCCUGUAGCCCCUUUAUGGUUAAUUUAAAUUUUUUCCUUUUUAUUUAAUUAUUUUUGUAGUUUGUAGUAUUGGAAAUUAAACCCAAGACUUUGCACAUGCUAGACAAGCACUCUACCACUGAGCUACAUCCCCAAUAAAGUUGAAGGGGCUUUCAUCUUGUGGUUUUGGUCUCCAUUUUGUAGAGGGCCAAGCUGAGGCCCUAAGAGGUGACAAUGAUACAGGGCCCACUAUGGGGCCCCAAUCACUGAUUUCCAUGAUAAGAUGCUGAUACUUUUUAAUAAAAAUCUUUAUUAAUUUUAUGAUGAUAAUAGCAUUACAUGCCCAUUAUUGAAUACUAGAAGUGAAGCUUUGGUUUAUUUUGUUUUGUUUUUUGGCACACGGGAUUGAACUCAGGGGUGCUUAACCACUGAGCAACCUCCCCAGCCUUUUUUACUUUUUAUUUUGAGACAGGGUCUCACACAGUUGCUUGGGGCCUUCUAAAUUGCUAAGGCUGGCUUUGAACUUGCAAUCCUGCUGUCUCAGCCACCUGAGUCACUGGGAUUACGGGUGUGCACCACUGCACCCAGCAGUAUACUUAUUUACUUAUCACGAGCAUUUUUUUUUUUUAAUUAUUUGCUCAGUUUUUAAUGAUUGAGGCUAGAGUUUAGCUCAGUGGUAGAAUGUUUACCUUGCAUGCACAAGGCCCUGGGUUCAAUCCCAGAACCAUCCCCCCAAAUGUAAUGAUUGUUUAUUCCCCAGUAUAUUGCCUUCAUUUAUUUAUCCUAUCUUCUGUUAGACAUUGACAUUUUUUUCUAUUUUUUUUUCCUUUUCAUAGGCGUUACAUGAGAAUUAUUGAUGCCUCCAAAAGAUUCCCCUUUGUGUGACCAGACCUUAAGCAUUUUGGAGGCAUCAAUUGUCUGAUUCCACCCUGGGUCCCACACAACCCCUGAAUGGGAGAAAUCUCCAACCCCACAAGGAUAUAAAGAUCAUGAAAAUGCAAAGCUUUCACCAGCCCACGCUUCCUGAGUUGUCUUAUACCUUCCCUUCUGACAGUGGGGUUGAUGUAGAUGGAGUUGAGAGGGGAGUUCAGGGUGUUCAAUUCUGACUGUUUGAAAGGAACUUUUGUGGGGUGUGGUGCCCAUGCCUGUAAUCCCAGAUGCUAGGGCUGGGGAUGUGGCCAAGUGCCCCUGAAUUCAAUUCCCAGUACCAAAAAAAAAAAAAAAAGGUACAAACUUUUAUCUCUGUUUCCCCCAGUUGCAGCCUCAAGUAGUCCAGCCUCCAGCAAUCUUCCGUGCCCCCAAACAGCCCCCAGCAUUAAACUACAUGUCACCUCUGAGCUUCUUACAUUUCUAUCCCCUUUGCUUAGAGGCCCCCCACCCCCAGUUUCCUGACUUUCGCCAGCAGCCCCCCCUCACAAACACCCACGUUCUCAGUUUCUUUUUGGUAUCCUGUUGAGCUUGGCCACAUCUUGUCUUGGAGUCUCACAUACCACAUGGGAAACUCUGUCUCCAAGGUUUUCCAUAAACCCUGCGGAACAGUAGAGCUUGAUGAGUGGUGGCCAUUUCCUCUCAUAGAAAUGGUAUCUAAUCAACCUUUGUUGAAAUUAUAUACUGGGAUGUUACUAAGGCCUCAGGAUUCUAAUGUUUAUGGCCUUUUUCUUUGAUUUGCUAUAUUUACAUUAUUCUUUGGAAUUUCAUUCUCAGGGUAGGGAAGAAUUGGAUGGUUCACUCCCAAGAAAUGCCACCCCAGGUAUGCUUUGUUACUUCAGGUCAGGUCCCCACUAUAUAUAUAAAAUUAUUUUUAAAAAUUUUUAGUUGUUGUUGGACCUUUAUUUUAUUCAUUUAUUCACAUGCAGUGCUGAGAAUCAAACGUAGGUCCUCAUACGUGCGAGGCAAGUGCUCUACCAUAGAGCCACAACCCCAGGCCCCAGGCCCCCACUUCUGACUCCAGCUUUCCCACCAUCAGGGCAGUAAGAUGACAGAUAGGGUAACCUUGAAGCUCAAAGGGUGGGUAUUUUUGAGGCUUAUUUUCUUGAUACUUAUAGGUUUAGUCUCCACUCUCUUAAGUACAAGAGGCUCAGGAGGGGAAGGGGACAAGAUGCUGUUUCAUGCCAUUAAUGUGUCAUCUCCCAUAACCCUCUCAUUGUUCCUACAAUCUUUAGUUAUUUUUAGAAAUCUGAGGUUCAGAAAUAUUAGAGGAAUUCUCCUAGCCACUAGUGGAUGGCUUGGGUGGUGGGGAAAGCAGGAUUUUGUUUCUGUAACCUCGGACAAAUUACCAACUAAAUACUGGUCAGUUCAUCUGUAAAAUGGGACAGUAGUGCACAACUGCACAGAUGUGUUGUCAGACAAGAGCUUCAUGAUAAGGUCUUAGUGGUUGUGGUUAUUACCCGUGGUCCUACUCCUAGUGUACAGGUGAAGGUCAGAGAAUGGGUCAUUUCGAUCGAAGUUCCUGAGAUCUCCUCUUUUGCCACUCUGGGCCACAUUCUGAACCUGAAUCUCAGGUUCAAAUACUGUAUCCAGGUAUCUGUGCCAAAAGAUCUGAGUCUGCAUCCAGGUGACCAUAGCAACCUGUGUGUCUAUAGGCAGGUAGUUUAAUCUUCCUGAGGCUUCGUUUUCUCAAAGUUUGUACUAGAGAUACCUUUCAGGCUCUUAUGAGUUUCACUCAGGUUUUCCUGAAUAUUAGAUGAGACCCUAACUCUGAAAGUUCUUUGAUGGCCACAGAGCUCCAGGGCAACAGAAGAGAUGAUUAUGACAUCAACAAAGGAAUAGAAUAUAAACUUCACUUAAGAUCCAGCCUUCCAGAAAGACAGUGUUUCCUCCUGCAAAAAAAAAAAAAAAAAUUUCCUGCUCUAUCACGUGGCUAAAAAUUAGUGGGGUACUGCCUGAGAAGAGGGGAAGGUAUCUCUUUUUCAUAUUUGAAUCUUCAGUGUAGACACUGGCAAAAGAAGUUCAGAAGUAACAAAACCAGGCUUGGUGGCGCAAGCCUAUAAUCCCACCUGCGGAGACUGAGGCGGGAAUAUUGCAAGUUCAAAACUAGCCUCAGCAAUUUAGCAAGGCCCUAAACAAUUUAGCUGGGGAUGUGGCUCACUGGUUAAGCACCACUGGGUUCAAUCCCUGGUUUAAAAAAAAAAAGUGGGCUGGGGUUGUGGCUCAGUGGUAGAGCGCUUGCCUAGCAUGUAUGAGGCACUGGGUUUGAUCCUUAGCACCACAUAUAAAUAAAUAAAACAAAGGUCCAGUUGACAACUAAAAAAAAAAAAACUAUUUAAAAAAAAAAGAAUAACAAGUGUUUGAAAGGCUAAGGUUUCCAUAGGAAAAUCCGUGAGAUUAUUUUUUAUACUCACAUGUUAAUGACUGCUUCCCGCCUCUCCCAAGAUGGGAGAGUGGAAUAGCGGGAACCUACAUGGGAAAGGUAUAGAGGAUUAAGAAACAACAAAGAGGGGUUGGGGAUAUAGCUCAGUUGGUAGAGUGCUUGCCUUGCAUGUCAAGGCCCUGGGUUUGAUCCCUAGCACCACAAAAAAAAAAAAAAAAAGAAUAAAAGAAACAACAAAGAGAAGCCCAAAUGUGGUGCAUGAGCAGGCCAAAGAUUUUUGGUCUGAGCUCCCUACUUGGACCUUCCUCUCAGCAGCCCACUCCUUCAUUUUGCUACCACAACAGGGCCAGUAGCCUUUGCUGAUUUGGAAACUGAGGGUUAGUAGCUGAAAAGCUUACCUGAGUAUACACAGCAAGGUACUGAGUACCUUGUUUAAUUUUAAAAAGCAGGUACUAGCCAGGUGUGGUUGCACACUCUUGUAGUCCCAGCAACUCAGGGGGCUGAGGUAGGAGAAUUGAGAGUUCAAGACUAGCCUCAGAGGCUGCAGUUGUUGCUCAGUGGUAGAACACUUGCCUAGCCUGUGUGAGGCACUGGGCUCCAUCCUCAACACCACAUAAAAACAAAUAAAUAAAAUAAAUGUGUCCAUCUACAACUAAAAAAAAAAAAAAAUGGCUAAGCAAUUUAGGGAGGCCCCAAGCAACUUAGUAAGACCAUGUAUCAAAAGAUAAGUAAAUAAAUAAAAAGCAGGUAGUGCUACAUUUUGAAUAUGUCCCCCAAAACUUUAUGUUAGAAUCUUUAUCCCCAAAUUAAUAUGUUAAUGGUAUUUGUUGAUGGUUCAGCAAGAAGGCAGAUGUAAUGCCGUGCUCUUGAACUUCCCAGACUCCAGAACUAUGAACUAAAUAAACUAUUAUCUUUUUUGGGGGGUGGAGUUCCUAGGAGUUGAACCUAGGGGCACUCUACCACUGAGCUACAUUCCCAACCCUUUUUAUUUUUUGAGACAGGGUCUCCCUAAAUUGCCCAGGUUUGGAACCCUUGAACUGGAGAUCCUCCUGCCUCCACCUCAGAGUCUCUGGGAUUAUAGGCAUGAAACAGCACACCCAGCAUAAACCUCUAUAAAUGCCUGAUCUCACUGGAUGCAGUGGCACACGCCUGUAAUCCUGCAGCAGUUCGGGAAACUGAGGCAGGAGGAUCACAAGUUCAAAGCCAGACUCAGCAACUUAGCAAGACCCUAUCUCAAAAAAAAAAAAAAAAAUUAAAAAAAGGGCUGGGGGGGCGGCGUGGCUGGGGUUUCAGCUCAGCGGUAGAGCACUUACCUUGCACAUGUGAGACCCUGGGUUCGAUCCUCAGCACCUCAUAAAAAUAAAUAAACAGAAUAAAGAUACUGUGCCCAUGCAUAACUAAAAAACAAUUUUUUUUAAAAGGUCUGGGGAUGUGGGUCAGUGGUUAAGUGCCCCUAGGUUCAAUCCCUGCUACCAAAAAGGGGGAGGGAGGGAAUUACCUGGUCUCGGAUACUUUGUUACAGCAUCAGAAAGUGGACAGAAAGAUAACUUAGCAAUUUUCUUUCUAGGAAAAAACUAAUUAAAGAUCUUUUCAGGGGCUGGAGUUGUAGCCCAGCAGCAGAGGGCUUUACUCCACUUUACUCCUUCGUGUGAGGCACUGGGUCUGAUUUUCAGCACUACAUAUAAAUAAGUAAAUAAAAUAAAGGUUCAUCAAUAACUAAUAAAAAAAUUUUUAAAAAGAUCUUUUCAGGGACUGGGGAUGUGGCUCAAGUGGUAGCGCGCUCACCUGGCAUGCAUGCGGCCCGGGUUCGAUACUCAGCACCACAUACAAAGAUGUUGUGUCUGCCGAAAACUAAAAUGUAGAUAAAAUAUUAAAAAAAAAAAAAAGAUCUUUUCAUAUGGAACCCUCAAUAAUCUUUUUUAUCUUCCAGUGAGUGUUUGUGUGUGUGUGUUUUAACAGUUUUAAAAUCUGGCAUCUGGCAUCGAUUAAAUAGUACUUGCUAAAGUUUUACUGGAUUUGAGCCUUCCCAGUGAACCAAAGGUCACUGAAAGCGCCUCUCCCUCCUGCUUCCCUACCUGAGACACGGGCCUCCCUGAACCUGGGAGAGGACUCUCUAGGCCAGAUGAACUGCAGAAUUGCCCAGCAUGUCUGGGAGACUGGCACUAGUAAGCGUUUUCCAAGAAAAACCCAGGGGCUUAAAGUAGGAAUAGUUGUACUUGACCAUCAUUUGAUGGGACAGGUGAGUCUUGGGAACUGGGACUCUGCCUGAAGGGAGUGAGGACAGGAAGAGGGUAAGCUGGCUCUACCCUCAGCGCUGAGUGUGGCAGUUCAGCUCCUAUGCCCUCUAUCUUUACCACGUUCUUUGGCUUCCAGAAGAACCUAUCUUCCAACACAGGAAGGGAGCAGGUACACUCCUUAUCUCUAAUAUAUUAGGGAUUUAACCAGG
rnacentral:lncRNA from 1 species